ensembl:lncRNA LINC02700 long intergenic non-protein coding RNA 2700
GAGACUGUGAAUUCUUCAAAAGCAGGUACUGUGUUUAAUGAAGUGUGCCCAGGACUUUGCUCAGUGACUGGAUGACACAGUAGGAGUAACAAGAAAGUUCACAUGGGUGAACCGUGAAGCAUUUUCUAAAACAAGGUGCAGCAAUCAGUUGAGUGAAUUUGUCACCAGAGCUUAUGUUUUCUGAAAGAACCCUAUCCUCAGGCAGUUGUUCCUAAGAGCCUUUUCCUUUCCCUUGAAGAUUCCACAAAUAUGUCAGCGCUGGAAAUGAUCCUUUGGCUUUGAACUAUGUGAAGACUGCAGAAGGACUGGUUGGUCAGGCUGCAUUUGUAUCCUGGGUCCACAAGACAUCGUUUCCUUAAAACCAAUCCCCCUGAUUUUGCUAAGUGUCUGCAAGCCUAAUAUUUCAUGGAUGUUUGACAAGGACCCCGUCUUUAGCUGAACUAAGGAGAAAGUCCUGCAACACACACAUGGAGCUCAGCAAACGGAGGAUGUAACGCACAUGAAAUUUGGUGCUGUGACUCGGAUUGGGGGACCUCCCUUGGGAGAUCAAUCCCCUGUCCUCCUGUUCUUUGCUCCAUGGGAAAGAUCCACCUACGACCUCAGGUCCUCAGACCGACCAGCCCAAGGAACAUCUCACCAAUUUUAAAUCGGGACCCCACUGGAAAUCGGACUGUUCAACUCACCUGGCAGCCACUCACAGAGCCCGUGGAACUCUGGCCCAAGGCUCUCUGACUCCUUCUCGGCUUAGCGGCUAAAGACUGACACUGCCCGAUCGCCUCGGAAGCCCCGUAGACCAUCACGGACGCCGAGCUUUAGAUGAAGAAACUGAGGUCCAGAGAAGUUAAACGACCUUCCUAAGAUUACACAGCUUAGUAAGUGGCAGAACCACAGCUGGAAGCCAGGUCCUUCCUCACGCAAGUCCUGGCUCAUUCAUUCCUCUUCCAAAGACUUGCUGAGCACCUUCUAGGUGCCAGAUGCGGUGCUGGCUCCUGGGGACAUGGGAGUGAACAGGCCAGGCGUGGCCCUGAACCAUCAAAUAGACAACCACAGAAAUAACAACGAAUGAUGCUGGAGGCUGACGAAGAUAAGGGUGGAAAGUGGGCAAUAAAUCAGGAGCUGUUGCAACAUUCCCAGCAAAGGAUAAUGGUGAAUAACAAAGACAAAACCGGGCCCUUCCACACAGUAGCUGGAACACAAAGGAAGAUCAGCCAAGCCUCAACAUAAUCUCAUAAAAAUUCUUCAAAUAUCCCAUUGUUAUGGAUUCAUACAUCAGGAAAGCAGAUGCCAAGAACCUGAACACCUUCUACUGGUAACAUAUAUUUUGGCGAGCCAGCCUGGAGACAAGACCACUAUGGGCAACUUCCUGUCUAUUCUACCUGGUGUCACUGUGGACAACUUCCUAUCUAUUCCACCCGAUUCACCGCUUGGCUACAUCCUCCACCAUUGGGAUGAAUUUGACCCUAACAAUCUAAAGAAAAGGCAUAUGAUUUUUUACUGCAAUAUUGUUUGACACAAUUAUGAGCUGCCCAAUCCGGAACAAUGGGCAGUCAAUGGUAGCCUUAAUUAUGAUACCAUCCUGUAUCUAGACCUAUUUUACAAGAGGCAGGGCAAAUGGUCAGAAGUCCCACAUAUACAGGCCUACAUGACCCUAUACGAAGACCUAAGAAUCUAGGAAACUCCCAGAACCCAUCCCCCGAAGGAAAGUUCUGGGGCAGAACUAGAUAUUAUAGAUGAACCCCCUUUUACAAGGGAUACCUGUCUCUCAGAGUGAGCAGUGACUGUCCCCAUAUAACCCCUCACCAAGUGCUCCUGAGGCUGAAACCCAGGGGCAAACAUGGGGAACCCUACUAAGUCCCCCUCACACUUGGAGGGGAACACUGUAUUCAACUCUCUAUCCAGCCCUGCUACUCUCAGAGAAAUAGCAGGGGCUGAGGGGCCAAUCCUAGUGUGGGUCCCCUUCUCUAUGAUUGAUAUACAACAAUGUAAGGAAAAGCUAGGAAGCUAUUCUGAGGAUUCCGGGAAGUUUGCAGAUGGGUUCCAAACUUUGACCUUAGCCUUUGAUCUCUCAUGGAGAGACGUUCAAUUCACUCUAGCAACCUGUUGCACCUCCUCGGAAAAGGAACGAAUCUUUGAGGCUGCCCUCCGAGAAGUGGACGAAUUAUUCACCCAAAACCGUAAAGGCAGUCACCCAGGCCCAGCCACAGUUCCCACUACGCAUCCUAAUUGAGACCAAGACACCCCCGCAGGAAGGAACAACUGGGCUAAAUUUCUUGAGGCUCUUGGAGGAAUGAGAAAGGGAAUAACUAAGGCAGUAAAUUAUGAUAAAGUAAGGCAGAUUACACAAGGCAGGGAGGAAAACCCAGCUGUGUUUUACGGCAGGCUGCGGGAAGCCUUUAAAAAAUAUAUACUAAUUUGGUCCCUUCCUCUCCUGAAGGCAAGUUAUUAAUGGCACAACGUUUCAUUAGCCAAUCCACACCAGACAUUAGACGUAAGCUCCAAAAGCUACACAUGGGGCCACAAACUAACCAAAAUCAGCUUCUUGGUACUGCCUUCAUGGUGUAUAACAAUCGUGACCUGGAGGAAGGAGAAGGGAAACAGAGUAAAGAAAAACGGCAAGCCAAAAUUAUGUUAGCCAUCACUGGUGAUGCCCUAAAUGCACAAAGAUUGUCCAAGGGAAACUCAAAGGGCCAUAAGGAUAAUGCCAGCAAAGGCUCUUGCUUCAAAUGCAAUAAAAGUGCGAUUGGGCACAGGAA